GAACGCUGGCGGCGUGCCUAAUACAUGCAAGUCGAACGCACAGCGAAAGGUGCUUGCACCUUUCAAGUGAGUGGCGAACGGGUGAGUAACACGUGGACAACCUGCCUCAAGGCUGGGGAUAACAUUUGGAAACAGAUGCUAAUACCGAAUAAAACUUAGUGUCGCAUGACAAAAAGUUAAAAGGCGCUUCGGCGUCACCUAGAGAUGGAUCCGCGGUGCAUUAGUUAGUUGGUGGGGUAAAGGCCUACCAAGACAAUGAUGCAUAGCCGAGUUGAGAGACUGAUCGGCCACAUUGGGACUGAGACAA
rnacentral:rRNA from 1 species